rnacentral:rRNA from 1 species
UGCCAGCCGCCGCGAUAAUACGGAGGGUGCAAGCGUUAAUCGGAAUUACUGGGCGUAAAGCGUGCGUAGGCGGUUUAUUAAGUCAGAUGUGAAAUCCUGCAGCUUAACUGCAGAACUGCCAUUGAUACUGUACAUCUUGAAUUCGGUCGAAGUGGGCGGAAUGUGUAGUGUAGCGGUGAAAUGCAUAGAUAUUACACAGAACACCGAUAGCGAAGGCAGCUCACUAGGCCUGGAUUGACGCUCAGGGACGAAAGCGUGGGGAUCAAACAGGAUUAGAUA